rnacentral:rRNA from 1 species
GUGAGGAAUAUUGGUCAAUGGACGCAAGUCUGAACCAGCCAUGCCGCGUGAAGGAUGAAGGCGUUCUGCGUUGUAAACUUCUUUUAUUAGGGAAGAAACCACCGAUUUCUAUUGGUGUUGACGGUACCUAAGGAAUAAGCACCGGCUAACUCCGUGCCAGCAGCCGCGGUAAUACGGAGGGUGCAAGCGUUAUCCGGAUUUACUGGGUUUAAAGGGUGCGCAGGCGGACUGUUAAGUCAGUGGUGAAAUCUCCGGGCUCAACCCGGAAACUGCCGUUGAUACUAUCAGUCUUGAAUACUGUUGAGGUGGGCGGAAUAGGUCAUGUAGCGGUGAAAUGCAUAGAUAUGACCUGGAACCCCAAUUGCGAAGGCAGCUCACUAAGCAGACUAUUGACGCUGAGGCACGAAAGCGUGGGGAUCAAACAGGAUUAGAAACCCUUGUAGUCC